CCGCAUAGCAUAGGAAAUGUAUACUAGACUGUUUUCAAAUGACUUCAGCAAUGAAUCCCUGCCACACACACACCAAAAAAACGACAACAAAAUAACUUGCUAUCACCUCUGGAACCAUGACCAAUGUAAAUCUGCUAAUGAUUGUCCCAAGGAAUUGAGUCCAGAUGAAACAGUUUGUCUACCAUAUUGUUUCUCUUUUCUAUUGUCUGAAAUAAUGGUAUUGGUGAGCUUCAUGAAAUCAUCCAGAAAUAAAAAUGACACCCAGUGACUCUUUCAUGUUCUGACUGAAGAUUGAUACAGUAAAAAGAAGAUCUCCAAACUGCGACUAACCGGUUGCAAAACUAUAAAUGACAUGGUGAAGCUGCGCAUCUCUUGACUACGGAUGUUGAUGCACCGUGCCGUAAGAGGAUGCUUGCUGAAGCGGAUAAUGAGGAAUCUGAUGACUCAGAGGAAAGCAGGAGGGUAAUGAAAAGUGCAACAGAAUGAAAAAUUAAGAAAAAGUCAAGUAACGCCUCAAAAGGGAAGCAGGUGUCAUGUCCCCCUUCUCCACCUCCGUUUAUCGCUCACCACCAAAAAGAAAACAUCUGUGUGGAGACACGGCAGCCAGUCCCCCAAUCAACAUCAUCAAAUAUGGAAGUUAAGGUGAACAUUCACCCUACUCCACAGGAUAACCAAACAUUCAGUGGCCUAGAUGGCAAUGGAGUUUCACAGAGAUCGACUCGUUCCUGGUGUCCACCCCUGUGCGUUCUGUGUGUGUACUUUGUGCUGUUUUUGUGAAUAGUCAUAGGUCAGAUGCAUGACAAUUUGUCACAUAAAUAUGUAUUCUGUUUUUGAUAAAUAGUUUGUUCAUAUUGCAGCUCAAUGUUUGUUCAUAUUGCAGCUCUUACCACGGCCUCUCAAAACUCUCAGGGAGUUAGAAGAUCUGAAUGUGUCGUAGGUCUGAAUUUGGUGUCGCAGGAAGCUGUGUCCCUCGAGCUGACACUAUUUUCUUCUAAUCUCUAUACUUUAAAAUGAUUCUUUUUUUUUUAUCUUUACAACAUUUAUUAUGUUCUAUGAUGUAUAAACAUCAUUAUACAACAACAUUAACAUAUAUAUAAUAUCACUGAUACUAGUUUAGAUAAAACAAUCGUAACGUUGUGCUGUCGCUAAGUUUUAUUGGUUCUUACAAACAUCCACGACUAGUGAUGCUAGCUGGCUACAAGCCUCAUCGCUAGCCUUGUUUACAUUUCACAUUUAUCUCAUUUACCGCUGUUUUUUAAAGCAAAUAUGUCAGUUGUUUCUCCGCUUUUGAGUGCACCUGGUGCUGCUAGAACUGGGGGAUGUGGAGAAACAGAUCCGCGAACUACUCGACUUGCAGGCCCAGCUGCUGGAGUGAAGAACCGUGCUGGAAACAUCUUGCGCUUCUGCCUACACAUCCAGGGGUCCAAAGGUGGGUAGCUGGCUUUGACUGAUCAGGAUGAAGUGUAUCGCCUUUUACACUAUAUUGCCGAACAAGCCCAUGGACGUGAAUAUACUUUUGCCAGUUGCAGAGAGGCCAUCGGCAGCUACGUAAAAAAUGCCCCAGCCAGGAAAGGUGGCAAGAAACAUAAUGUGAUUGUUUAUCAGAGUUACGUGGGAUCUCCUACAAGAAUUGGGCGUGAGUCCAAUUUUGGAAUCUCAUUCCUCUCCCUCGCGUGACAUCCUCCAAACAGUACAAUUCUAAUGAGCUUGUAUAUACUGAGAAUUCAAUUGGGAUUUAUUUGAUGUCUGAUUAAUAAAUUGUUUUCUUUGAUUAGUAAUA